UACGAAGGGUGCAAACGUUGCUCGGAAUUAUUGGGCGUAAGGCGCACGUAGGCGGCUCCAAAAGUCGGAUGUGAAAUCCCUCGGCUCAACCAAGGAAGUGCACCCGAAACUGCGGAGCUUGAGUAUGGAAGAGGGUCGCGGAAUUCCCGGUGUAGAGGUGAAAUUCGUAGAUAUCGGGAGGAACACCAGUGGCGAAGGCGGCGACCUGGGCCGAUACUGACGCUGAGGAGCGAAAGCGUGGGGAGCGAACAGG
rnacentral:rRNA from 1 species